AAUGAAGUGCCUGAUUUGAAAGGAUUAUUUUGAUAGAAUAAAUCAUGCAGUUAACUGCCUUCAUUA
rnacentral:tRNA from 1 species